UCUAAAUCCGCUACUGACCGCCACCACCAAGCGACGAUGCAUAGAGCUGAUCAGAGUCCUCAAUCUCUUCCCCGACUCAGUUGCCAACAUCGUUGUCGGCGGAGAUUCGUCCCCCGUCGUUGAUGGGAAGAGCAUCAUCGAGAAGCUGUUCACGCUCCCCAACGUCGUCGGCGAGUCUGCGUUUUCCGUCGAUGGCAUCGGCCACUACGCCUAUUACUUCAAGAUUGAGUAUUCUCACGCCGCCAAGUCAGGUUUCGAAACAUUCUAGGGUUUCAGAAUUCUAGAUAUAAGUACUUGAUCUCUCUCUUGGCUAUUGAUGUUUUGAGCUCAGAUACUAAAGCCAAUUUUCAGAAGAGGAUGGACCCAUAUUCCUCCUUUGGUACAGAAUGGAAUUGCACAUUGCACUGAAGGAAGAUUUUAUCGCAGAACCACCCACACAUGUUUUAGAUUGAACUGAUACAACUGAAACCAAACGGAAAAAUCCAAGACGGACCUUUAAAUCAGAGAAGGAGUUUAUAGAGUUCACUUUGAAGUAUCAACAAAUUCUUGCAGAGAGAGAUGGAGUUGGUUUUGCCUAUCUUGGCCUUUUUGGUGAGGAGGUUCCUAAAACAAUAGAAUUUCUGAGCCCUGUGCACAGGCAAGC